AACACUAAAGGAAACGCGAGCAAUAAUUGAUUCAUCACCUUCCUCACUACUAUUAGCCUAUUAUUUAGAAACAGAACUCAAUUCCUACCAUUUUAGAAUGAAAAUCCUAACCCCAACCCUAGCUCAAUUUCCCCAAUUUCACGACAUUGACUCGCGUUCUGCGUUCUUCUCUCUCGCCAUCGUGGUGUUCUUCACUGCUCUGCUCGCAUCGCGUUCUGCUCUGCUCGUGUCAUGUGCUUCUUCUCGCAUCGUGUUCUGCUCUGCUCCGCCAUGUUCGAUCUUCAGCUCGCGCCAUUCUGAAACAUUCGCUUUGCUCCGCCGUGGUGUCGUUCACAUCUUCCUCUCAAGUCUCUCAGAUUGGGACGAGAAGUAAGCCAUGUAUGUUAAUGGAAAUUAACCUGAAAGUGGUUCAUAAAGCUAAGCUACACAUUGCAAAUCUAUGAUUUGGACAGCACAGGCUUUGUGAAUGCCAAAAGAUUGUUGAUAUUGGCAAAACUCUGCCGUUGUUCAUGGAGCUUCAAACCUUAGGUGACAGGACGUGAAGAAGCUGGCAUUUGAUCACAUAAUUCACAGUAUUAAGUGAACCAGAAGCAUAAGAAAAAAGCGAAGAACCAUGCUCUGAAAGUGUCUUGUUUUCAAUGCUAUAGGAAGAGGAUGAAGCAUGAGUUAAGAAAGCGCUUGUGACACUAUGUGAACUUCACAGAAGAAAAGAUUGGUUUGACAAGAGAACAACUAAAACAAUGUUCACUGUUUGUUUCCAUCCAGCACCAAGGUUUUUAUUUUCUCCUUUAUAUUUUGUGAUUGUGCGACUGUUUUGAAAUUCUGAUCUUAGGCAUAAAGAUAGUUUUUGGUGUUAUCAGGAUCAAGAAAGCAUCUUUAUCGUCUCAAUAUGAACAAGACUAAGCAGCAAAGGUAGAAUUUGAUUCACGGGGAGGUGAUGUGUGUGAUUCUCAAGUGUCAGAUCAUUAGUGAUUUGAUUUUCUAAUGUAACAGUAUAGCUUUAAGAUAAUUCUAUUAUGGUGAAGAGAUUUUAUGCAUUUCAAUAAUAAAAACUAAGCUUCAUUGAUAUAUGUGCUGGUUACUAGUGGUAGUAGCUGAGGUAAUCAGUGGAUCCGUUGUCUUUUGCCUUCCCUUCUUAUAUGUUUGCAUUGUUCAACCAUAUGCUUUGGAACCAAGGCUUUCUACUUAUGAUCCUUGAUAUAGUAAUAUACUAACUAAAUUCUUUUUAAUCUUGAAUUUGCAGAUGUUGUGCUAGAUAUUUGCAGAGUUACCAGCAUGGCCAGGGAGACAGAAGGGAGAAAAAGAAAGAAGAAACAAGAAACAAGAACUCGCAAUGCUCAGCUGCAUGCUACCAUCUCAGUGGCUGCAGUGGCUUCUGCCGUGGCAGCCAUCGCGGCUGCAAUGGCUACUUCAUCUGCACCAAGCAAGGAUGAGAGGAUGGCCAAGACCGACAUGGCUGUGACCUCUGCAGCCACAUUGGUGACCACGCAGUGUGUCGAGGCUGCUGAGGCAAUGGGGGCUUAAGAGAGAUCACCUACCUUCUGUAGUUAGCUCAGCUGUCAAUAUCCGCUAUCAUGAUGAUAUCACUACUCUUACCGCUGCAACUGCAACAAGUAGCACUCCUUGAUGACGCUGUCAAGAAUCAACAAGAGUAUAGUUGCAUUGUCAAUUAGCCCCUUAUAGGACAAAAUGUGUCUUGUGUUCAUGUAGGCUUGGGUAGUGUGAACUAAGAGAUAGUAAUGAUGACCCUGAUCUUAAUUAUUAAAGUGUGCAGAUUUAUUUAAUAAUUAAAUGAUUAUACAUGUUUCUUAACUUU